rnacentral:rRNA from 1 species
CGGACGGGACCGCAGAGUCUGCCCCCGGUAUUCAGCUCGUCCUCUUCGUCGGCCGCGUCCGUCGCCAAACGACACCCUCUGAGCGGGUGCCAUGGCGGGCGUGAGCGCGGCGGGGGACGCGUGCACUUUCCGGGGUGCGGUGCGUCACGACCGGUUCGGCGGAGGUCAGAAGGCCGGCGGGAUGGUGGCCAGUCGUUCGCGUCUGGUGGUAUAGCCCGCAUGCGUCGCAGGCCCUCUGCCGGACCGAGGAGGAUCCGCGUCUGCCUUAGGGCGCGGGGCCCGGGGCCUCCCGUGCUGCCUCCGUGCCGGGACUGCUCUCGCAGUGCCGUGCGCGGUCGGCGGUCGGGACGGACUCCGCUCCCCCCGUAACGGCGUCUAGGGUCGGUGGCGAUAUUGUCGGCAACCCGUCCGACCCGCUA